CCUACGGGUGGCAGCAGUGGGGAAUAUUGCACAAUGGGGGAAACCCUGAUGCAGCGACGCCGCGUGAGGGACGAAGGUUUUCGGAUUGUAAACCUCUUUCAGUAGGGAAGAAAAUGACGGUACCUGACCAAGAAGCCCCGGCUAACUACGUGCCAGCAGCCGCGGUAAUACGUAGGGGGCAAGCGUUAUCCGGAAUUACUGGGUGUAAAGGGAGCGUAGGCGGGUAUGUAAGUCUGGAGUGAAAGCCCGGGGCCCAACCCCGGGACUGCUUUUGAAACUGGUUAUCUGGAGUAGAGGAGAGGCAGGCGGAAUGCGUGGUGUAGCGGUGAAAUGCGUAGAUAUCAGGAGGAACACCGGCGGCGAAGGCGGCCUGCUGG
rnacentral:rRNA from 1 species